CCUUUGCCUUUGCUUCUGCCUGUGCCUCUGCCUUUGCCUUUGCCUUUGCCUUUAGCUUUUACGCUUCUCCCGUGGAUACGCUUGUGCCUUUUCUUUCUUCUUCGUGCCCGAACCAUCUCAUUCUUCUGCCAGGUGCGAUAUAUUUCCCCUUCGAAAACCGACGCGAUAUAUUUAUUCGAUGACUUGUAUCCUUUGCUCGAUCCGCGCUUUCUAUGAUAAUAACGUUCGUCUCGCGUUCUGAUGUACCGAUCGUGUCGCAGGCUGGAUAGGUUGACCCAUGUUUUUUCGACGGAGUCGACGUUCGAGUCGACUAUCGAAUCUUGAUCAUGUGACCAGUGCGUCAAUGGUGGUCGAACGGUUGAUCGGGGGUUCUUUCUCUGUUAGACGUAAUCCACUAAUCGCGAGUUUAUCUCGCGAGUUCCGUUUUAUUUCGCACUUUCGCUCCUAUUUUUGACAGGAAGACACGCAUCGAUACAGAGAUUCUUAAAAAAAUAUUAAAGUCUAAAUAUUCU